rnacentral:rRNA from 1 species
UGCCAGCCGCCGCGGUAAUACGGAGGGGGCAAGCGUUGUUCGGAAUUACUGGGCGUAAAGGGUGCGCAGGCGGCGUCGCCAGUCAGGUGUGAAAUCCCCGGGCUCAACCCGGGAACUGCACUUGAUACUGCGAUGCUAGAGUUCGGAAGAGGGUAGUGGAAUUCCCAGUGUAGAGGUGAAAUUCGUAGAUAUUGGGAAGAACACCAGUGGCGAAGGCGGCUACCUGGUCCGAUACUGACGCUGAGGCACGAAAGCGUGGGGAGCAAACAGGAUUAGAUA